rnacentral:rRNA from 1 species
ACGCACGCUGGCGGCGUGCUUCACACAUGCCAGUCGCACGGAAAGGCCCUGCUUUUGUGGGGUGCUCGAGUGGCGAACGGGUGAGUAACACGUGAGUAACCUGCCCUUGACUUUGGGAUAACUUCAGGAAACUGGGGCUAAUACCGGAUAGGGGCUCCUGCUGCAUGGUGGGGGUUGGUAAGUUUCGGCGGUUGGGGAUGGACUCGCGGCUUAUCAGCUUGUUGGUGGGGUAGUGGCUUACCAAGGCUUUGACGGGUAGCCGGCCUGAGAGGGCGACCGGCCACAUUGGGACUGAGAUACGGCCCAGACUCCUACGGGAGGCAGCAGUGGGGAAUAUUGCACAAUGGGCGGAAGCCUGAUGCAGCAACGCCGCGUGCGGGAUGACGGCCUUCGGGUUGUAAACCGCUUUCGCCUGUGACGAAGCGUGAGUGACGGUAAUGGGUAAAGAAGCACCGGCUAACUACGUG